rnacentral:rRNA from 1 species
CAGUAGCCGCGGUAAUACCGAGGGUGCGAGCGUUAAUCGGAUUUACUGGGCGUAAAGCGUGCGUAGGCGGCUUCUUAAGUCGGAUGUGAAAUCCCUGAGCUUAACUUAGGAAUUGCAUUCGAUACUGGGAAGCUAGAGUAUGGGAGAGGAUGGUAGAAUUCCAGGUGUAGCGGUGAAAUGCGUAGAGAUCUGGAGGAAUACCGAUGGCGAAUGCAGCCAUCUGGCCUAAUACUGACGCUGAGGUACGAAAGCAUGGGGAGCAAACAGGAUUAGAUACCCCGGUAGUCCCUGUCUCUUAUAC